CUCUAACGUGAAAAAAAAAAACUCAAUAACUGUUAAAAAAACAACUAUAUAAGUAUUGUAAGUGAAGUAUUAAAUCUUAAAUCAUAGAGUAAUACAAUAAUAUCUUAUUUGUUUUUUAGGGUAAAAAAUAUGAUUAAAAUUGUUAAUUUUGUUCUUGUUAUGAUUAUCAUUUUUUCUCUAUUUCUUGUCACAACUAGCGAUAGCAUGUACUGUGAGAAUGAUGAUGAUUGUCUACCAAGUGGUUGCAAGACUCCUUUGAUACCUGUCUGUAUUUUCGAUAAGUGUAAUUGUAUUUGAAUGAUUUCAAAUAUGAAUUGAUGCUCAGAUCCUAUAAUAUUAAUUAAGUUGUCCUUAGUUAUGGUAUUAACAUUUUAUAGUUUGAUUUUUAUUUAGUUAUUUUUUAAAAUUUUAUGGACUAUAGUUAUACGGCUUUAAAAUAAGGUAUAAAAAAUAUUAUGCAAACUA